GAGAAAGAAACUUAAGAACUGCUAAUUCUUAAACCCAUAUAUAAAAACAUGGCUUCCUCA
rnacentral:tRNA from 1 species